GGGCUUUUAAUCGAUGAUCAUCUCUGAAACAUUAGCUGCAGGUUUUACAAGACUACGGCUUCUCACCUGUGUGACAUCUCAUGUGGUCAGUCAAAGAGGACCGUUGACUGAAGCUUGUUCCGCAGGUUCCACAAGAAUAUGGCUUCUCACCGGUGUGACAUCUCAUGUGGUCAGUCAAAUAGGACCGAUGACUAAAGCUUUUUCCACAGGUUCCACAAGAAUAUGGCUUCUCACCUGUGUGACAUCUCAUGUGGUCAGUCAAAUAGGACCGAUGACUAAAGCUUUUUCCACAGGUUCCACAAGAAUAUGGCUUCUCACCUGUGUGACAUCUCAUGUGGGCAGUCAAAGAGUCCCGUCGACUAAAGCUUUUUCCACAGGUUCCACAAGAAUAUGGUUUCUCACCUGUGUGACAUCUCAUGUGGGCAGUCAAUUUGGAACGUUGACUGAAGCUUUUUCCACAGGUUCCACAAGAAUAUGGCUUCUCACCUGUGUGACAUCUCAUGUGGGCAGUCAAUUUGGAACGCUGACUGAAGCUUUUUCUACAGCUUCCACAAGAAUGUGGCUUCUCACCUGUGUGACAUCUCAUGUGGGCAGUCAAUUUGGAACGUUGACUGAAGCUUUUUCCACAGGUUCCACAAGAAUAUGGCUUCUCACCUGUGUGACAUCUCAUGUGGGCAGUCAAAUUGUCCCGUCGACUAAAGCUUUUUCUACAGGUUCCACAAGAAUAUGGCUUUUCCAUUUUGUGAACUGCCAUGUGCUUAUGAUGUGUUGAUGAAUCAGAAAAACUUUUUCCACAAGUGUUACAAAC